AAAGAACAUAAUUUUACGUUUUUAUGUCUAACGUUCGACUGUUCUUAUUAUUUAAAUUUAUUUUAUUAUUGAUAUUUUUAUUGUUAUUAUAUGAUAAAACAUGAAUAAUACUUUAAACGUGACUAAUUUUAUUAAUUUUUUUAUAAUUUUUUAAAUAAAACGAAUGGUUAAACGUUGGACACGAAAACCUAUAAUGUACUUAAA
rnacentral:pre_miRNA from 1 species